UUGGAGGGCAAGUCUGGUGCCAGCAGCCGCGGUAAUUCCAGCUCCAAUAGCGUAUAUUAAAGUUGUUGCAGUUAAAAGGCUCGUAGUUGAAUUUCGGGGUUAGUAGGUUGGUCAUGCCUCUGGUAUGUACUGGUCUCACUGAUUCCUCCUUCCUGAUGAGCCGUAAUGCCAUUAAUUUGGUGUUGCGGGGAAUUUGGACUGUUACUUUGAAAAAAUUAGAGUGUUUAAAGCAAGCUAACGCUUGAAUACAUUAGCAUGGAAUAAUGAAAUAGGACGUUCGAUCCUAUUUUGUUGGUUUCUAGGAUUGACGUAAUGAUUAAUAGGGAUAGUUGGGGGCAUUAGUAUUCAAUUGUCAGAGGUGAAAUUCUUGGAUUUAUUGAAGACUAACUACUGCGAAAGCAUUUGCCAAGGAUGUUUUCAUUAAUCAAGAACGAAAGUUAGGGGAUCGAAGACGAUCAGAUACCGUCGUAGUCUUAACCAUAAACUAUGCCGACUAGGGAUCGGAUGAUGUUAAUUUUUUAAUGACUCAUUCGGCGCCUUACGGGAAAC
rnacentral:rRNA from 1 species